rnacentral:rRNA from 1 species
AAAUUGAAGAGUUUGAUCAUGGCUCAGAUUGAACGCUGGCGGCAGGCCUAACACAUGCAAGUCGAACGGUAACAGGAAGCAGCUUGCUGCUUYGCUGACGAGUGGCGGACGGGUGAGUAAUGUCUGGGAAACUGCCUGAUGGAGGGGGAUAACUACUGGAAACGGUGGCUAAUACCGCAUAACGUCGCAAGACCAAAGAGGGGGACCUUCGGGCCUCUUGCCAUCAGAUGUGCCCAGAUGGG